UAUCCCGCGCAUCGGGACACACGCGUACGUCAGAUAACUUUUUUUAUUUUUAUUAAAGUAUAUAUUUUCUCUCAUUUUAAUUGAGAUUGAGCAUACAUCAAUAAUAUAAAAAUUUAUUUAUAAAAAAAGCUUCCUGUUUUUAUUCUCUAAAAAUGUGCUUUGUUGUCAAGUAUUUGCUUCACGUAAAAAUGAAAGGACUGGUCGUGUUUCGUAAGUUGAGGAUUUAAUCGUGAGCAACAAUCGUGAUUCAAUAAAUCAUGUAAAAAAAAAAAAUGAAAGUAAAAAUGACAAUUCACGGUCAAAGCAUAGAAGCCCUUGGGCUUAGUUUUGGUUUCGGUUCGAAACCGUGGGUGAUUUUUCAUUAGUUUGAAAACCUUUGCGCUAUGCGAAACCAACAUGAUAGAAUAAAUAGUAGUAUCAGCAUUAGCAGUAGCAGUAGCGAUUCGAGCAGCACGACUGAGAGUACCAGUACAGUGGUUUACAUUGAAAAUAAUAAGUACGGUCAUUGUGAGGGUGGAUACAAGGGCUCGAGGGCCAAAAGGAAGAAAAAUCGCAAACGUAAGCUUUUUGAUGUGUCUAAAUACAAGGGACUCCACGACGAUAGAAUUAUGGACGCGUUUAGCGCGCUCUGUUUUUUGUUUCGGGUGAGAAGAGUUACGAGCGAUGGUUUUAUUAUGAGAGCACACGUGUUCACGGCUGCUGUCAUGUUAAUAUUUUCGAUUAUUGUGUCUGCUAAGCAAUCUGUUGGAAAUCCUAUUGAUUGUAUGCAUACAAGAGAAAUACCUGUAGACGCAUUCAACGCUUAUUGUUGGAUACACAGCACUUACUUCGUAACUGGAGCAAUGCUCGGAGUGGCUGGAGUAAAUGUAGCCUUUCCCGGCGUAGCCUCGUCCUCAUCAUUUCUUUGGCCUCACAACCGAGUAGGUCAUCUUUCGUUUCCAGAGAAUCACAAUCGAAGAGAAGAAGAAAUAAAAGUGAUCAGAUAUUACCAGUGGGUGGCAUUUUUACUGCUUUUGCAGGCAAUAUUAUUUUACACACCGCGAUGGCUUUGGAAGGGAUGGGAAGGCGGUAAGAUUCACGCGUUGAUGAUGGACCUCGACAUCGGUCUCUGUUCUGAGGUGGAGAAGAAGCAAAAGAAGAAAAUGCUUCUCGAUUAUCUGUGGGAAAAUCUCCGCUACCACAACUGGUGGGCCUACCGAUAUUAUCUCUGCGAGGUGCUAGCCUUGGUGAAUGUUAUUGAUGUUCCUGAUGAACCGUUUUUUCGAUGGCGCAUUUCUGACCUUCGGGAUCGACGUCCUCAGGUUCCUCGAAUCCGACCAAGAAGACCGAAUCGACCCUAUGAUCUACGUUUUUCCGCGUAUGACCAAGUGCACUUUUUACAAGUACGGAGUCAGUGGGGAAGUUGAGAGACAUGAUGCUGUCUGUAUACUUCCGCUAAAUGUCGUUAAUGAGAAAAUCUACGUCUUCCUGUGGUUCUGGUUCCUACUUCUCGGCAUCCUCAGCCUAUUGACUGUUAUAUAUAGGAUUGUCAUAAUUUUUUCUCCGCGUACGAGAGUUUACUUAUUGAAAUUGAGGUUUCACUUAGUAAAAAGAGACGCAGUGGAGACAAUAGUGCGACGUAGCAAAGUGGGCGACUGGUUCCUCCUCUACAUGCUUG
rnacentral:misc_RNA from 1 species